AUUGAACGCUGGCGGCAUGCUUUACACAUGCAAGUCGAACGGUAACAGGCCGCAAGGUGCUGACGGGUGGCGAACGGGUGAGUAAUGCAUCGGAACGUGCCCAGUCGUGGGGGAUAACGCAGCGAAAGCUGUGCUAAUACCGCAUACGAUCUAUGGAUGAAAGCGGGGGACCGUAAGGCCUCGCGCGAUUGGAGCGGCCGAUGUCAGAUUAGGUAGGUGGUGGGGUCAAGGCCUACCAAGCCGACGAUCUGUAGCGGGUGUGGGAGGACGACCAGCCACACUGGGACUGGGCCACGGCCCAGACUCCUACGGGAGGCAGCAGUGGGGAAUUUUGGACAAUGGGCGCAAGCCUGAUCCAGCAAUGCCGCGUGCAGGAAGAAGGCCUUCGGGUUGUAAACUGCUUUUGUACGGAACGAAACGGUCUGGGUUAAUACCCUGGGCUAAUGACGGUACCGUAAGAAUAAGCACCGGCUAACUACGUGCCAGCAGCCGCCGUAACAC
rnacentral:rRNA from 1 species